GGGGGAUGGGGGGAGGAGUGGGGAGUGAGGAAUCAGGAAUAAAAAACAAAGAUUUUUUUUUUUUUUUUGAUUGUUGCACAGCACAAUGCACACAGACAGAACCGCUACAUCUCAUAAUCUGGGACUUUUGUUCGUUUUGUUACGGUUUCUCAAUAACACAAUAACAUAGCAGAAAUUACUCUAACCGUUUGACAAAAGCUUGCAAGAUCAAGUAAUCUGCAAAGGGAAUCUUUCAGCCUCUUUCGCCUGCCCCUUCUGAAAGGGGAGAAGCUGGGAGGCAGGAUGACUCACUCACUCCCUGGGACUUUUAAUUUUAAGUGUCUAGAGCUGUUGUGAGUGAGGCCAGGCUGUGGAACACCCGGAGCCUAGUAGGGUUUUAUGACCCCCUUCCACGUCAUCCUGCAGCUCUCAAAUCCCUGGAAGAAAUAUUCGGGCAGAGCAGGGGGGAAGGGAAUCCUUUGCUUUUUGACCUGCAAUUUUUCCUGCACUCCGUUUGCAUCUUUAACCCAUAAGCAUACGUUUUGCCAACAUUCCUUCCAAGUGCAUUUCCACUUCCCAUCAUUUUCUGAGUGCAUUUUUACAUCCUGUGGGUUUGUUUGGAAAGCCAAGGCAGUUAGCAUUUUCCUUUUCACCAUGGAAAAGGACAUUUUGCCCUUCUCUGUAUCUACGCUUUACCUAUUUCUCAGCUGUGUGUGCUCUUGGGAUGCAUAUGAGAACAAGAGAGAGCAGGAGCAAGAGAGCAAGCUGGCACUCAGUCAACAAGGUAAUAUCACCUCAUCUCCCCUUGUCAUGGAUGGGAAGCCUGAAAGGACCAUGGAGGUAGACAUUUUGAUGUGAACAUCAACGUUAGGGAAAGAAAGAAUUCCUGGGUAGUGGAAUGAUGGGACCACUAAAAGAUGUGGAAUAAAUACAGCCUGAAUGAGUCUGAGUUCUUUGCU
rnacentral:lncRNA from 1 species